AUUGAACGCUGGCGGCAUGCCUUACACAUGCAAGUCGAACGGCAGCACGGGUGCUUGCACCUGGUGGCGAGUGGCGAACGGGUGAGUAAUAUAUCGGAACGUACCUUAUCGUGGGGGAUAACGCAGCGAAAGCUGCGCUAAUACCGCAUACGCACUGAGGUGGAAAGCAGGGGAUCGCAAGACCUUGCGCUAUACGAGCGGCCGAUGUCAGAUUAGCUAGUUGGUAGGGUAAAGGCCUACCAAGGCGACGAUCUGUAGCGGGUCUGAGAGGACGACCAGCCACACUGGAACUGAGACACGGUCCAGACUCCUACGGGAGGCAGCAGUGGGGAAUUUUGGACAAUGGACGCAAGUCUGAUCCAGCCAUUCCGCGUGCAGGAUGAAGGCCCUCGGGUUGUAAACUGCUUUUGUACGGAACGAAAAGGUCUCUCUUAAUACGGGGGGCUCAUGACGGUACCGUAAGAAUAAGCACCGGCUAACUACGUG
rnacentral:rRNA from 1 species